rnacentral:tRNA from 1 species
UUAAUUGAAGCCAAAAUAGAGGCGUAUUACCGUUAAUAAUAUAAAUGAAUAAAUAUUAUUCCAAUUAAG